AGGGUCAAAUCAGAGCUGCAGCUGCCAGCCUAUACCACAGCCAUAGCAACACCAGAUCUGAACUGCAUCUGUGACCACCACAGCUUGUGGCAACCUGACACUGGAUCCUUAACCCACUAAGAGAGGCCAGGGAUUAAACCUGCAUCCUCAGGGAGUCCUUAACCCACUGAGCCACAGCAGGAAUCCCCCAGCUCCAGCUCUUUAAUCCCCUUUAUCAUUCAGGGGCAUUCUCCUUGAUCCAGCGCUCACAGUUUAGAUUCAGUUUUACGUCUGAUCCCUGGAGGACCCUCACACUAACACGAGGUGCUCCCAGGACAGUGCAAUAAAGAGGCCCACACCAGUGCCGGGCUGGGGGCCGUGCACACCUUGCUCAGCCUCAUGGUGCCAGUUGGGUACAACUCUUAUCAAAUGUGUAUUCAGUGACAUCACAUGGAAGGCUUGGAGCUUGCUACAGUGGAAGUGCUCACACCAUACAAAUCAGCCAAUGCUGCAGAUCAAGAUAAUCCCCCCCCCCCCGGAGCCCCUCUAGCACACCGCUGUCCCCAAUGUCACAGCAGCUAGGAUUCUUAGGCAUUCUGGUCCACAAAGGCUAUUUCUGUUCUUCAAGGCGGUCGUGAUGCCUACAGCCACAGCCCAUCCUCCUGUUAUUAAUCUCCCAUCGACUUUCCUCCUAAUGUAGGAUAAAACCCCUGUGGCUUCACAUCCCAAGAGUUCAUCAUGCAGACACUUCUCUCCACCUGCUUGCUGGUAGCGUUUGUCUGUUCAAGUGCUUCUUGUCAUCCCUGUAUGCUUGAAAUUCUCUAGUAGCCAACAACACUCUGUAAUUUUGUAAUCAAUAAGAAAUUGUACUGGCAAGAAGACAAUUACAAUAAGUCAAAUUCAAAACGAUAUGCUCCGGAUGCAAUCCCCCCCCUCCUUUUUUUUUCAAUUUGAGUGAACACAUCUCAAAAAGGCUCGAGGAGACCAUUUGUAUUCAUAAUGAACAAAAAUGCUCUGGAAUCCAUGAUUUAGUUACAUCUGGGUGUGAGAUGAAAAGAAUCAAAAGCCAAAACGGUGAGAUUGGCCUGAGUAAAUAAAUAAAUAAAUGCACACAUGGAUUGGUUUCAAUAAAGAGCAUUCCUUGUAGACGUGGGGUAAGGAAUAAAAAUGUCCUCAGGGCUAGGAUAUACAUACAAACGACAACAAAAAUCAUACUAGAGGCUUUGAACUUGUGAUUUAUUAGCCAAGUGUAGGCAUCCAUUGUCUUCACUGCAGACUAAGUUUUCUAAUAUCGGAAUCAGAGCAUUGUUUGUGGGCGUAGUCACAUCAUGUGUAUGUGAUGUUUUUCCCGUGUGUGUUUGUGCAUGUGUGCAUAUAUGUGUAGGCGUGUCUUGUGUGUGUAUGCACCUACAGGUCUGUUUGCACAUUUGUGUGUACAAGGAGAUGUGUAUACGUUCUGUUGUUACGUAUCGUGUGCGUCUAUGUGAAAGUUGUGUGUCUAUGUGAAAGUUAUGUGCACCAAGGCACUUAGUAAGUGUUCAAUAAAAGGGAAUUUAUUUCCUUCUUCCGUUUUAGUUUUGAGAGGCUACGGAAGAGCAAGGUACCCGCACUGCCUUGCUGAGUAUAUUCAUUAUUAAAGAAGAGAGAUUGCCUUCUAGUGUUUCUGUAAGUGAACGCUAAUGCAUUAAAAGUUGAAAAUAAAUAAAACAGGCAGACAAAAAGACAAGGCAGAAUUCACAGUGGAAACAUCUCCAGUGAACCUUGUACAACUGGAGUGUGGUCGUGAGGGGAGUGCGGGGGUUGCUGUUUGGGAGGCAGGGAAGCAAUUACACUGGGAGCUGCAAAAUGACGGGGAGUGUCUAGGACAUCACCCUGGACCCGUGAGUGGGGGCGCCAUUACCAAGAAACCAUUUUUAGGCACAAGGAAGAUUUUCCAAAUCCUCACUUUGUGCUACGAGAGCCACAUGAUCCAGGGCACAAACACUGAAGAACAUCCAAGUGGUACCCAGCUUCUUGGAUUUAGUUCCUUCCAUCAGAUCGAGGUGGGGGGGCGGGGGGGGGGGGAGGUUGCUUGACAAAUUGCCUUGGAUUUAUUUUUCCUCAUUUAUAUUAUAUUACAUAGGAUUGGAACACAACUCAAUGAGCAGACAGCAUGAUAGUCCGCAUAUUUAAUAUGAUUUCUGCUACAGGCAAAAUAGUACCAGAUAAAGCAUUCAUAUUUUUACGAUAGGUAAAUAAUCCUGUAGUGUCACAGAUGAACAUGCGACCAGCAGGCAUCCUCUAUUUAAGAAAACGCCUUUAUUUUUGUACCUUAUUACAGGAGAGAUAUUGCUUCAUUGGUACCUGUACUCCUACAGCGAUAGAAAAUAAACAAUUCAUGCGAGCACACACAGGCUCACACACAGCGCGCGCACCUGAGUGAUCUUGAAUAUUAUUUUGUGAACCAGGAUGCGCUCAGGAAUCACUCAGGGAUCUUGUUACAAUGUAGAUUCUGCUUCUCUAGCUCUGGGGGAGGGGGUGCCUGUGACUCUGCAUUUCUCACAAACCUCACCUGAACUUGAGCUCGGACCAUGAUCCUUGGACUCUACUUUGAACCUCCGCUUCUUCAUCAGCAACACGUAGAUGCUAGUGUUUCAUGAUGCCACAAGGGUUACACCAGACAAUGCUCAGAGAAGCCCCAGCGAGCAUCUGGCACGCACUAUGUUCCAUCAAUGGACACAGUUACAACUAUUAUGAAUAACGUGCUCACGGAACCAGUGCAGACAUUAACCACCUGAAGGGAACAAGGUAACAUCAAUUAGAGGCAUGUGGUUCCAUCCCCCUUCUACACCCUACAGCUAAUGGCCACGUUGCAGAGUUACUUAGCCCUGCAAAUUCCAGCUGCUGUGCAUUGUGUAUUCGACCGCCCUCCUCAAAAAUAAUAACACAGUUGGGAAAGAAAGAAAGGGAGAGAAUCUGUUUGCCUUAGAAAGUUUCCACAGCUCAGCAGCACGUACUGGCUGGUAACUUCAUUUCCCAGGGCCUGGCGGAGGCCGUAAUCCAUGAAAAUGGAGCACAAGUCCUUGCAUGAUGUACUUUGCUGUAAGCCGCUAAGAUUCACUUGCAGCUCUGCGUGAGACCCCUGAGUUCUCUUUGAUAAGUUGCCCGACCCGAGAAAGCUGAAAAUGUGUCCAUUAUUGUGGGGGCUGCCAGGAGGAGAUGGUUUUAGAAGUAGAGAGGGUGGUAGAUCAGGGAUCCUGGGGUGUGGAGCGUGCCUCCCGACCUCGUUUGUUGGAAGAGGAGAGCCCGAGUUGGUUUUACAAAGUGCUCAGAGCCCUGGCGAGGCAGGCUAAGAGGCGAUUUGGGUUGCCUUCCACCCAGUGCCUGCGGGUGAGGUGAUCAGGGCGUUAGGAAGGGUUUUAGCACCUGUGGAAAUGGGGGAGCCAGCACCAGGCAACUCUCCCUCUCCCCUGCAGAGGAAAGAGCACCCUGGUGCUCAGACGGCAAAGCCAGGGAAAGAAUAAUGUGGAGUGCAGACGGGGCCACGGGAGGCUAGCCCUCGCAGCCCCUGCGUCGGAGAGGAUGAAAUGUUUCUGCUUUUCUGGAGGGCAAUUUGGCACUCCUUUUCAAAACCUUUAAACUGGUGCCUACCUUGGACCCCGCAGACCUGCAUCUGGAAAAUUAUCCCAAGGAAACAACAUAAAUGUGUGGAAUAUUUUAGCCUUAGGGUGCCACGCCUGGAACUGGGACACAGGGUUUUUGUUUUUGUUUUGUUUUGUUUUGUAAUUUUGAUUGGUGGGGGUAGCUGAAAACAAAACUAAACCAACAACAACAGCAAUACAGAGACAAAGCGCGCGCGCGCACACACACACACACACACACACACGAAUGAUCUCUUUUCAAAGCUCCAGGCAGUUUUCUCUCUCAAAGAGCAGGAGGCUGGAGUUGGCCUUUGGUGGAGGCUGUAAUAUUGUUUGGAAGCAAAUCCCCUUUCAUGGGAAGAAUAUUAAGCAAAGCUUCUCCCCAGUAUUCCCAGGCAAAUUUGAGAAGGCAGGUGUGUUAGAUUCAAAAGUUAAGUGCCCUGCUUGGUUAUGUAAAUUGUUAAAUGCACUUUUAAAAAAAAAAAUCCAGAACUGUAUUUCUGCAGACUGGGAUGCUCCUCUAUAAAUAGCCCAGUGUCUCUACUGGAUAAGGAUUCAAGCUGGUUACAAUUUGCCUGGAAAGAAUGGCCAUUUAGCCAUGCACUAUUCCAAUGGUGGGGCAGGCAGGGGCUGCAUAUAUAGCUCGAGGAAUUGCCCUCAGUUUGCUUAUAAUCUAGUGGUCUGAGAGAGGGAAUUAGCACAGACAAGAAUAAGUAGGUAAAGAGAUGUAAGCAUGCAUAAUACUACUAAGUCCAACGUAGAGGUUACUACGAUAGAAAGUAUUGGGAAUAAGCUCAUAACGUAGGAUGGUUUCCGAGGGCCCCGCUAAAGAGGUGGCCAGGGAAUGAAGGAAGAGCAACCCAGUGGCCAUCACAGGGGGCGAUGUCGCUGCGAACACCUAGGUGGAAGCAUGGGAGAUUGUAUUUUGGAUGGGUAUCAGAAGUCAGCUUCGUAGGCUUGUGAGAAUGACACAGUAGAGAGGAAGAAAUUGAUGGCUCUGCACAGAAUAAAAAAAUCUGAAGGAGCA
rnacentral:lncRNA from 1 species